CCUACGUGCGGCAGCAGUGGGGAAUAUUGGGCAAUGGGCGCAAGCCUGACCCAGCAACGCCGCGUGAAGGAAGAAGGCUUUCGGGUUGUAAACUUCUUUUGUCAGGGACGAAGCAAGUGACGGUACCUGACGAAUAAGCCACGGCUAACUACGUGCCAGCAGCCGCGGUACUACGUAGGUGGCAAGCGUUAUCCGGAUUUACUGGGUGUAAAGGGCGUGUAGGCGGGGAAGCAAGUCAGAUGUGAAAACCACGGGCUCAACCUGUGGCCUGCAUUUGAAACUGUUUUUCUUGAGUGUUGGAGAGGCAAUCGGAAUUCCGUGUGUAGCGGUGAAAUGCGUAGAUAUACGGAGGAACACCAGUGGCGAAGGCGGAUUGCUAGACAGUAACUGACGCUGAGGCGCGAAAGCGUGGGGAGCAAACAGGAUUAGAUACCCUUGUAGUC
rnacentral:rRNA from 1 species